GAUGAACGCUGGCGGCGUGCUUAACACAUGCAAGUCGAACGGUGAACGAGGGAGCUUGCUCCCUCCGGAUCAGUGGCGAACGGGUGAGUAACACGUGAGCAAUCUGCCCUGGACUCUGGGAUAAGCGUUGGAAACGACGUCUAAUACCGGAUACGAGACGCGAAGGCAUCUUCAGCGUCUGGAAAGAACUUCGGUCCAGGAUGAGCUCGCGGCCUAUCAGGUGGUUGGUGAGGUAACGGCUCACCAAGCCUACGACGGGUAGCCGGCCUGAGAGGGUGACCGGCCACACUGGGACUGAGACACGGCCCAGACUCCUACGGGAGGCAGCAGUGGGGAAUAUUGCACAAUGGGUGCAAGCCUGAUGCAGCAACGCCGCGUGAGGGACGACGGCCUUCGGGUUGUAAACCUCUUUUAGCAGGGAAGAAGCGAAAGUGACGGUACCUGCAGAAAAAGCACCGGCUAACUACGUGCCAGCCGCCGCCGUAAUAC
rnacentral:rRNA from 1 species